CGUUCGGACUUCCACCCUGCUGACUGGACCAGCGAUCACCUGGGGCGAAUGUAAACAGAGAUACACGCCUUUAUGAGGUGUGUAACUACAUCAAGCCUGAGGAGGACAUGAUUCAGUUCCAGAGCACUGACCGGUGGUGCAUUUCCCGUACAGGUUGUUCUCGUGAACGCUGGCCACCAGAGUCCAUCCUCCUCCUGCGGUCGUCAUGUCGCAGUACGUCUGAUACUUGACGCCGGUGGGCGAGG